AAUACAAACUGUCACUUGUCACCAGCAUCACCACAUUUAUAACGCUUAAAGCCGAUAUCCUGUAGAAAAAUGAAUUUCGUAAAUAUUUUCCUUUUUGUUGGCGUUGUACUUGCCAUAUUCACUGGAGAAAUUGAGGCUAGACGAAGAGGCUCUGCUCGCAAAAACGCCAUGAAACAUGUGGGUGAAAAGGCCAUGGAAGGAGUUGGUCCAGCCGUAAUCGGAAAGAUUUUCGAAGGAUAACUCAUAUAUGCAUAUCAAUAGAAUAUUGAAAUAUAGCAAAAUCUUAACAAAUUAAUGCAAAUCUAAAA